rnacentral:siRNA from 1 species
CUCUCCGCCCUGUUGUGCAUGGU